rnacentral:misc_RNA from 1 species
ACCAACGGCGGACACAGGCACCUAGGCGCGCAGCCCUGCAUCUCAGGGUCGUGGUGGUCACAUAAACACUCACCUAGACCUGCAUGCAAGCUCACGCUAUCACAGCGCACACGCACCCGCUCGCGCGAUGCAGCAGACCAUUCCUCAUGUAGCUGAUGUACACACCGGGCGUGCGUCACUCUCCGCGACCGCUGGCAAGCUCCUCGCGGAACCUACAUUCCCGGAGAAGAGCGACGCAGCGAUCACUAGCAAGCUUACAUCAACCCCCGUCGCUACAGAGGCUCUGCGGCCGCUUUCCUCGUCAUUCGAGGCGCGUAACGGCGAUGACUCGCCAUCGCUGGAGUUGAACCCCAAUGUGAACAGUUCGCACGAGAGCGGCAGCGGAAACACCCAGAGGCACGAUGUGGCAGCCACCUCGGUGGUGGUGUCUGAGACUGGGAUAGCUGCGGCCGCGGCGCAAGACGUCACCGCUGUGUGCACUGGAGAAGCCAUGGCGACUCCGGUGGAGGCGGUACUACCCGCGGCGGCCCUUCCUUCUGCGGUGGCCACCGAUCCUGCCGUGUCAGCACUGCGUGCGCCGUCUGCACUGGAGCCAUCACUGAUAGUGCGGUUCCCGGGCGCAGCACCUGCAGCAGUGGCCAAGGCGAGAGAGCAAACAUGCCUUGAGCACCUGAGCCCCAUUCGCUUCACGUCUCCGGAGCCGAGCACGUCAGCAAGGAAGGGCAGCAGCUGUCGCGGCCGCGGUGGUGCCGCCGGUGCCCCUGGUCGUGUCUCGGGGCGUAGGGGGUCGCCACAGCACUUACCCGUGUUGCGCCGCCGGACACCCGGUGCCGCGAUACGCCACCGCCGCCGCCACUUCAGUGGUGGCGGCGGUGUCAGCUGCAAGAACUUCUUUUUUCAGAGCGAGGGCGCUGCCACCUUCGGCAUCGGCACUGUGGGGCUCUUCGCCUCCACAGCAAAGCCGGUUUUUGGCCCUCGUGCAGCGAAGCGCGGUUUAUCGUUAUCGGUUCACCAGCGUCGGACACAUGGCGAGCGUGGACAGAGGUCCGUAUCGCAACCGGCUGUGCUACCGUCCUGCAGAGCCGCGCCACCUCCGACUUCAGGUGCCGCCGGUGCCGCGUCAGCGGUUCCUUGCUACUACACUCCUGCCUGCUACAUGUCGCGUGCGAUGAACGGCAUCACGGCGUGGGAGAAGCGGCAGGAGGAGUACCAGCAGUGGCGCCGUGAGAACUUGAAGAGGUCGACGUACUACCGCCUCUCCAGGCCACUCGAUGCCCUAGGUGGCACAGAGACAGAGACAGAGGAGAACGGCAUCUUGCCGUGCCUGUACAACGCCUACGCUCCCGUUCUUUUCUCUUCCGAGGAGAGACACCGUAUGGAGCGCCUCCGACUGCGCGCACUUGAGGCGGAGCGGACGGCGCGCUCGACCGCGCGCGCGCACGAGCAAGCGGCGUAUGAGAAGGAGGUGCUGCUCCAACGCUCACGCAAGCUCCAUGGCGAGGCCGUCGACUUGCCCGACUCCUACCUGCGCACCACCUACCCUGAUCCGUCCACGUUCACUGGCUACGCAGAGCCGGCCACUGGGGACGACAAGGGCCGCAUCUACCCAGCACCUCAUGCGAGCAAGGCCGCCAGCGGUUAUCUCGCCAACCCGAAGCUCAUUGUGAAGGAUCAUCACCGUGCCAUGCAACAGCACCGCGUGGCGAGGCAGCAAGCACGGCUCAAUCAGGAGGCGCAGCGCUUGGAAGCGGCGGAGCGUCAGCGGCGUGAUAUUGCGGCGCAGCUGACGGACUGCCAGUUGCAGGAAGCAGCCUACCUCGCGUCGUGGAUGGAGGGCCGCCCGCGGGUGUGUCGUGCGCGAGAGACAGAGCGGCACGCGCGGCAGGAGGCGGAGCAGCGCGCCGUGGAUGAGUGGAACCGCGCGGCUCAGACGCGCGAGCGGGAGGUGUACGCCCUGUACACCUCUCAGGAGGCAGCGGCCGCCGCAUCGCAUCGGCAGGAGCUGCGCGCGCGUGUCGUCGCGCCGCGACCGUGCAGCCGCAAGGGUAUCUCCGGCGGCCAUCGCCCGGAGCAAGAGGUGCAAUCCUUGCCAGCGGCGCCAGAUGCGGAGCACAACGGGGCUGCAGCGCGCGUUCCAAGCCCGCUGUCUACUGGCGUUCCUGACUCCUCAGGGGUCGUCGACUGUCUUCCCCAAGCAGCCGCGCCCCCACUGUCGAUGGUGCCGAGUCAGGCACCGGAGGAGAAGUUGGCGCGGGCAGCUCGUCCCUUAACACCCACCGUGCGCCCCGAGACACCGGCGCUGCCACCAUCUCAGGUGGUGGGCCCCACCUCGACAAACUUCUUCAACGAGGUGAAGCAGUGGACGCGGGAGUUCCCGUCGCCCAACACCGUUCCCGUCAACGGCUCCGACGCCGCGUACCGGCGUGCGUGGAAGGCAGAGCUAGAAGAGGCACAGCUUCGCUUUAAUCGCGAAACGACGCAGCGGCAGCGCGAAGACAUUGCGCGCCGCGUGCAAGAGGCGCGCGAGAGGGCGCUUGAGGGGAGCUGGCAGCAGGCAGAACAGAAGCGGCACGAGAAGCGUGAGCUGGCGGCGCGGCGCGCCGAUCAUACACAGGCAGACGUCGAGGCCGCCACGGCGGUGAGGUUGGAGGUAUGGCUGGAGUCGCACCGCGCUCAGCAGCAGAGAAUGGUGCAGGCCGCUGAGCGCUACAAUGAGACUCAGUUCCUGCGGCAGCAGUCGAAGCAGCGUGAGAUGGUGCUGCGAUCGUUGGAGGAGGAGGAGCUUCAGCAGCUGCGCAUGAUGGUGUCGUCCGCCUCAGCGGCGAACCGCGGGUGAGGAAGCUAAAGGAAAGGAGGCAGGGGAGAAGACGUGCGAGCCAAUCGCAAGCCACGCAGAGGCAGGACCAGAGGGCCGAAAGGACAGCAAGGAGUGUGUGAGAAAAGAAGCCGUGCACGCGCGCGCCUCUGUGUAGCAUGCGAAGAGGACAGACGGCACUCCUCUUUCGCUCUCCGCCUCUCUUCCAUUCUUUCCCUGCCCACUGACCACCCAUGCAUAUCGCUCUGCAGUCCCACCAACUCUUGAGCACAGGAGAAGGGAGGGGGAGGGGAAUGGGAUGGAGACGGGGGCUACCACUCCUGCUGCUUCUUGCUGCUACGGGGUGGAUGUGCCGUCAGUGUUGUCGCGGCGUCUGCCAGCAGGUGGAGUCUGCGUAGGUGCGUGUGUGUGUGUGCGUGUGGGUGCCAUGCGCAUACUUCUGCGUUUUUGUGUCUGUCGUUCUCUCUUGUUUUGCCCUUCCCUCCUUCCCUCCCUCCUUUCCCCUUUUCUUUCUUAGCUGCUUCACAGUCUGCAUUCUCCUCCUCCUCCGCUUUUCUCCUCUUGUGUAGUUUUUAUGCGUGGGGUCGAUGCACACUCUCACGUGAGAAUCGCCAAUGCACAUGGAGGGGUACCCCCUCCUGCUCCAUCAUCCCCGACCCGCCCCGCCCACCUUUUUCUUCUAUGUUUCUCUGUGUCUGUCUGCGCUUAUCUUCUCCGCCACCUGAUGUACAGCAACGGGUGCAACUCCGCACCUUCGUUCAGGAUCACUUUCAUGUACGUAUAUCUCCCUGUCGCGUCCCUCCUCCUUCCCCUUCCUCUCUCAACCCUUCAUCUUGCGCUCAUCGCCAUCGGACCUGCUCUUCCCUCUCAUGACUCUGCUUUUCACAGAUGCCGUUGAGGGAGUCGCUUUCUUUUCUGGGUUUGGUUGGCGUGCGUGUGCGUGUGUGUAUGUGUGUGUGUGUGUGUGCGCCUCCGCCUUUCCGUUCUCUCUCACGUCUCCUCUCGUGCGCCCUGCGAACAGAAAAGCAAGACGGAGAGAAGUGGAUGGGGCAACGGAGGGAAUGGCAUCAGCAGAAGCAGCGGUGGAGCAGGCGGGCAGUUCUGCGAAUCUGAAUGGCGCAGAAAACCAGGCCCGAUGCACUCAGAGACAUGCGCAUGCGUGUGUUGAUUCGUCUUCUCUCUCUCGCCUUCUUGCACGCCUCCAUCUCUCCCUCCCCCAUCAGCUGCACCGUCCUCUCACAGACCGAAGCGUUCUGCCUCUCACGCUCGCCCACCCCCUGUCUCCUGCGCCUCGAUCGCUUUCUGCGUCUGCUAACCUAUCCGCUUCGGCUUUCUCUUGUCGCUCUCGUACUUGUCAAGCGGGCUGGGCGUAUCUCAUCCCGUGGGAAGAACGCGUACCCACCCCAUCUAAAGAGGCGGGCAGGGGAAAAAGGGGAAGAAGGGGGGGGGAGGGGAGGACAGACCACACGACAGGCGAACUUGUCUCGUGGAAUGUGAGCGCGUGUAUCUUCGACGGCCGUCUUUCAUAUGAAACAACAGUGUAGGGCACCGCACACGCCGGCACACGCAAGGCAGGUCGUAUGCCCAAGGAUCGGCGAGACGAGGGAGAGUAGGCAUGCACGCGUUGCGGGUACGCCACACAGUUGCGUGCGUGCCUGUGUGCGUUUUGCCCUUUCUUCGUGCGCACUCAGCCUUUACCGCUGCUCCGCGCGAGCAGUGAAAGUGUACGGGUGCUGGAGGCGCACUGCCUUGUGCAUCGCCCUUCUCACAGGCGAGCGCGGUCGAUCCUGCUCUGCCGCAAUGCUACUCCGUUCGCUUGCUCGGGGAUCGACGUCGAGCGUUGCACAGCACAGGCUGCUGGGUGUGGCCACGCCGCUGCUACGAUGCCACGCCUCGCACCAUCUUCCUCUUUUCCUUUCUCCUCCAUCGAUGCGUCACUCGCGGGGCCCAUGCUCUCUUUAUUUCACAAAG